rnacentral:rRNA from 1 species
GACGAACGCUGGCGGCGUGCUUAACACAUGCAGGUCGAACGGAAAGGCCCUGCUUGCAGGGUACUCGAGUGGCGAACGGGUGAGUAACACGUGGGUGAUCUGCCCUGCACUUCGGGAUAAGCCUGGGAAACUGGGUCUAAUACCGGAUAGGAGCCAUUUUUAGUGUGAUGGUUGGAAAGUUUUUUCGGUGUAGGAUGAGCUCGCGGCCUAUCAGCUUGUUGGUGGGGUAAUGGCCUACCAAGGCGGCGACGGGUAGCCGGCCUGAGAGGGUGGACGGCCACAUUGGGACUGAGAUACGGCCCAGACUCCUACGGGAGGCAGCAGUGGGGAAUAUUGCACAAUGGGCGCAAGCCUGAUGCAGCGACGCCGCGUGGGGGAUGACGGCCUUCGGGUUGUAAACUCCUUUCGCUAGGGACGAAGCUUUUUGUGACGGUACCUAGAGAAGAAGCACCGGCUAACUACGUG